CCUACGGGUGGCAGCAGUGAGGAAUAUUGGUCAAUGGGCUUACGCCUGAACCAGCCAAGUCGCGUGAGGGAAGACUCCCCUCUGCGUUGUAAACCCCUUCUGUCAGGGAGCAAUUGGCGCUACGUGUAGCGUUAUCGAGAGUACCUGACGAACAAGCAUCGGCUAAGUCCGUGCCAGCACCCGCGGUAAUACGAGGGAUGCGAGCGUUAUCCGGAUCUAUGGGGUUUAAAGGGUGCGUAGGCGGAAUGCCAAGUCAGCGGUAAAACCGCGGGGCUCAACCUCGCUCCGCCGUUGAAACUGGCGUGCUUGAGUGGGCGAGAAGUAGGCGGAAUGCGUGGUGUAGCGGUGAAAUGCAUAGAUAUCACGAAGAACUCCGAUUGCGAAGGCAGCAUACCGGCGCCCAACUGACGCUGAGGCACGAAAGCGUGGGUAUCGAACAGGAUUAGAUACCCUUGUAGUC
rnacentral:rRNA from 1 species